rnacentral:rRNA from 1 species
GACGAACGCUGGCGGCGUGCCUAAUACAUGCAAGUAGAACGCAGUUGCGAACGGGUGAGUAACGCGUAGGUAACUACUUAUUAGAGGGGGAUACUUAUUGGAACCGAUAGCUAAUACCGCAUACUAGUAGAUGGACCUGCGUUGUAUUAGCUAGGAGGUGGGGCAAUGGCCUACCUAGGCAACGAUACAUAGCCGACCCUGGAGAGGGAGCGACCACGCUGUGACUGGGAGACGGGCCAGACUCCUACUGGAGGCCGCAGUAGGGAAACUUCGGGAUUGGGAGGAACGCGGACCGGGCAACGCCGCGAAGGUGAAGACGGUAUUGGGGUGGUAAAGCUCUGGUGAUAAGGAAACGGUACUUAACCAGAAAGGGACGGCUAACUACGUGCCAGCAGCCGCGGUAAUUC